GUAUGACAAAGUAGAGGUAGUAGA
rnacentral:piRNA from 1 species